UACGUAGGGGGCAAGCGUUGUCCGGAUUUAUUGGGCGUAAAGAGCGUGUAGGCGGCCAGACAAGUCUGCUGUGAAAACUCGAGGCUCAACCUCGAGCUGUCGGUGGAAACUGUCUGGCUAGAGUCCGGAAGAGGAGAGUGGAAUUCCUGGUGUAGCGGUGAAAUGCGCAGAUAUCAGGAAGAACACCUAUGGCGAAGGCAGCUCUCUGGGACGGUACUGCCGCUGAGACGCGAAAGCGUGGGGAGCGAACAGG
rnacentral:rRNA from 1 species